UACAGGGGGGGCAAGCGUUGUUCGGAAUUACUGGGCGUAAAGGGCUCGUAGGCGGCCGGCUAAGUCCGACGUGAAAUCCCCAGGCUUAACCUGGGAACUGCGUCGGAUACUGGCGGGCUUGAAUCCGGGAGAGGGAUGCGGAAUUCCAGGUGUAGCGGUGAAAUGCGUAGAUAUCUGGAGGAACACCGGUGGCGAAGGCGGCAUCCUGGACCGGUAUUGACGCUGAAUAGCGAAAGCCAGGGGAGCAAAGCGGGG
rnacentral:rRNA from 1 species